rfam:Fomitopsis pinicola FP-58527 SS1 unplaced genomic scaffold FOMPIscaffold_50, whole genome shotgun sequence.
GCCGCGUUAGCGUAGUGGUAGCGCGUCGCACUUGUACAGCAACUAUUGGUUGCAAGUUAUGCGAAGGUCACUCGUUCGACCCGGGUACGUGGCA